CUACUUUGUGUUAAUUAAUUUUCCAGGUGGUGAGUGGAUUCAAAUAUUCUAUUGACUUCACGGCCAGGGAAACCACAUGUUCCAAGCAAAGACAUGAAGAGUUGAGCGAAAGUUGUGAGAUCAAAAAACAUGGAGCAAUUUUAAGAUGCACUUUUGAUGUUUACUAUCCAGUAGGUGAGAAGAAUAAAAUUGACUCUACUUUCAAAUGUCAAUCACCACAAAAG